UUCAAUUUUUAGUUGUAUUCAUUCAUAUUUAAAAAUAAUAAAAUUAUGAGUUUUUAAUUUUUAACUAGUGAGGUUUUCUUCAACGUUCUUGUUGAAUGGGAAUUGAUUCAACUUAUUAAAGUAAAUCCUUGUGGUGUUUUAUUAAUCCUUCUUGAAUUAAUUUCACUUACCAAGGUUCCAUCUUGUGGUACUUAAUCAAUUCAAAUUAUCAUCCCAAUU
rnacentral:lncRNA from 1 species